rnacentral:tRNA from 1 species
GCCGGGCACGGUGCUGUGUUGGGCGUUGGCGGCUGCGAUCGCCGUGGCGGCAACGGCAGUUGCCGCGUUUGCGGGUGCGACUCCAGCGCGCGGAGC